rnacentral:rRNA from 1 species
CUUGACCAUUAACAUAGACAGUAACCACACAAAACUGUUCGCCAGAGAAUUACAAGUUAAAACUAGAAACUCUAAGGACUUGGCGGUGUCCCAUAUCAACCUAGAGGAGCCUGUCCUACAAUCGAUACCCCCCGAUCUACCUGACCACUUUUUGAAGUUCAGCCUAUAUACCGCCGUCGUCAGCCUACCUUAUGAAAGGAAAAAAGUAAGCAAAAAAGUUAUUAACUAAAACGUCAGGUCAAGGUGUAGCACAUAAAGUGGAAGAGAUGGGCUACACUCUCUUUAAAAGAGAAUACUAACAGCACAAUGAAACAAUGCCCUAAGGCGGAUUUAGCAGUAAGCUGAGUAAGAAUACUCACCUAAAAUUAGCCCUGGGACGCGCACACACCGCC